CCGGGGGAGGACCCAACCGGANCACACGAUGNCGACCAACGCACCUGUCCACCCCCCCUCCUACCUGUYUGAAGGCCAGCGCGGCCAUGGAGGAGAAGGAGCGAGCGAGAGAAGAGACUAAUGCAAAAAACUUUCAACAACGGAUCUCUUGGUUCCCGCAUCGAUGAAGAACGCAGCGAAAUGCGAUAAGUAAUGUGAAUUGCAGAAUUCAGUGAAUCAUCGAAUCUUUGAACGCACAUUGCGCCCCCUGGCAUUCCGGGGGGCAUGCCUGUUCGAGCGUCUCCGGGAAGAAGACUCACGCGGGGUGACCCCUGACGCGUGGUGGUGGCGGCGGUGGCGGUCCCAGCACGGGAGGCCACCCCGGCGGAAUUCAUGGGCGGACGGCCGCCGCGUCGCAGAGCGUGAUAUUUCGCUAUCGCCUCGAGCGCGGAGAGGCUGCCAGCCCUCGCCAGCCCUCGCCAGCCCUCGCCCGUAGGCGGGGCUUGGGAGGUCUGGGAUAUCCAUGACAAU
rnacentral:rRNA from 1 species